rnacentral:rRNA from 1 species
AGUGAACGCUGGCGGUAGGCCUAACGCAUGCAAGUCGAACGGCAGCACAGUAAGAGCUUGCUCUUACGGGUGGCGAGUGGCGGACGGGUGAGGAAUACAUCGGAAUCUACUUUUUCGUGGGGGAUAACGUAGGGAAACUUACGCUAAUACCGCAUACGACCUACGGGUGAAAGCAGGGGAUCUUCGGACCUUGCGCGACUGAAUGAGCCGAUGUCGCAUUAGCUAGUUGGCGGGGUAAAGGCCCACCAAGGCGACGAUCCGUAGCUGGUCUGAGAGGAUGAUCAGCCACACUGGAACUGAGACACGGUCCAGACUCCUACGGGAGGCAGCAGUGGGGAAUAUUGGACAAUGGGCGCAAGCCUGAUCCAGCCAUACCGCGUGGGUGAAGAAGGCCUUCGGGUUGUAAAGCCCUUUUGUUGGGAAAGAAAAGCAGCAGGUUAAUACCCCGCUGUUCUGACGGUACCCAAAGAAUAAGCACCGGCUAACUUCGUG